rnacentral:lncRNA from 1 species
CUAACGGACGCCUAACGGAUAAAACGGAUGUGAAACGGACAUUAACGGAAGGAUAACGGAUAAAACGGAUGCCUACUGAUAGUUUAUUCUCAUUAAACCAAUCAAGUACAAAGGUUACAGAGAAGUUGAAAAAUAAUAUACAUUAAAAACAAAAUAUGCAUUAGAAAUGCAUAAAAUUCAAAAAUACUAGAUGUAAAACGGA